rnacentral:rRNA from 1 species
CUGGUGCCAGCAGCCGCGGUAAUUCCAGCUCCAAUAGCGUAUNUUAAAGUUGUUGCAGUUAAAAAGCUCGUAGUUGAAUUUCGGGGUUAGUAGGUUGGUCAUGCCUCUGGUAUGCACUGGCCUCACUGAUUCCUCCUUCCUGAUGAGCCGUAAUGCCAUUAAUUUGGUGUUGCGGGGAAUUUGGACUGUUACUUUGAAAAAAUUAGAGUGUUUAAAGCAGGCUUACGCUUGAAUACAUUAGCGUGGAAUAAUGAAAUAGGACGUUUGAUUCUAUUUUGUUGGUUUCUAGGGAUUGACGUAAUGAUUAAUAGGGAUAGUUGGGGGGCAUUAGUAUUCAAUUGUCAGAGGUGAAAUUCUUGGAUUUAUUGAAGACUAACUACUGCGAAAGCAUUUGCCAAGGAUGUUUUCAUUAAUCAAGAACGAAAGUUAGGGGAUCGAAGACGAUCAGAUACCGUCGUGGUCUUAACCAUAAACUAUGCCGACUAGGGGAUCGGAUGAUGUUAAUUUUUAAUGACUCAUUCGGCGCCUUACG